ACAUCCAGAGAACUUAGCAGAGAUGCUUUGGUGCCUUCGGGAACUCUGAGACAGGUGCUGCAUGGCUGUCGUCAGCUCGUGUUGUGAAAUGUUGGUUAAGUCCCGNAACGAGCGCAACCCUUAUCCUUUGUUGCCAGCGGUUCGGCCGGGAACUCAAAGGAGACUGCCGGUGAUAAACCGGAGGAAGGUGGGGAUGACGUCAAGUCAUCAUGGCCCUUACGGCCAGGGCUACACACGUGCUACAAUGGCGCAUACAAAGAGAAGCGACCUCGCGAGAGCAAGCGGACCUCAUAAAGUGCGUCGUAGUCCGGAUUGGAGUCUGCAACUCGACUCCAUGAAGUCGGAAUCGCUAGUAAUCGUAGAUCAGAAUGCUACGGUGAAUACGUUCCCGGGCCUUGUACACACCGCCCGUCACACCAUGGGAGUGGGUUGCAAAAGAGGUAGGUAGCUUAACCUUCGGGAGGGCGCUUACCACUUUGUGAUUCAUGACUGGGGUGAAGUCGUAACAAGGUAAGCGUAGCGAG
rnacentral:rRNA from 1 species